UGGGUGACUCUGCCGCCCACGAAAGUCCCGUGAGUCACUGAUAUUUCGAGUCCGAAAACCAAGCUGGCCUAUUAUCGAAGCCCGAAAUCAAAAUAAAAAUGAAAAUCAAAAAUUACUCCACGCAAAAACGCCCGUACAUUCGACAUUCUCGUCGGGCGAUUGGAAUUCAUCACAUUCAUAUUCACAUCCACAUCCACAGCCACAUCUAUAUCGGCGUAGUGUAACAGGUGAAGAAGAGGGCGGGUGGAAUUUUCGCGCAUACUGAGGUGCAGGUUUAAGGACGCAGGACGCAGGACGCAGGACGCAGGACGUAGGACGCAGGACGUCAGGAAGUCGGACUCGAAUCGAAUGGGUACUGGCCAAGGAUCCCCGAAUCGAAUCACAUCUUUGCGCGAUUCCAAUUACGUAUAUGAACGCGACUGAUUCCCUAUGUUUGACAAUGGUGCACGAUUCUGUUGGGGAGCGACUUUCGGGUGCUGAAAAACGGCCAGCUCUUUCGCACUUGGCGCGCCAGCCACUGUUUUCCAGUUCCCCAAUAUUCUUUAUCUUUGCGUGCUCGCAAUUCGCCAAUUUGUUACUUAAAAAUUACUUUUAAUACCAGUACUAACUCA